AAACAAAAACUUUUUUUAUUUUAAAAUGUAUUACUAUUAUUGUUAUUUAUUAUUUUAUAAAAAAUGAAAAUGAACACAUUUUUUUCUUUUUUUCUUUUUUUCUUUUUUCUUUUUUUUGGAUGAAAAUCAAGAUGAAUACCCCCAAACCUAAACCUAACAUUGUCCUCAAUGUUAAAGAAAUCUAAGGGAAUUGGGUUGUCUUCCAACAAGCGCUAAGUUUAUUGUCUUCAGCCAGACACAGUGAGGUAGUUUUUGCAUCUCCUUUUAUGAGGUCAUCUAUUUUGUCUAUUAUAAAACACUCAACUUCCCUCGCGGGUUGGUCGGCCGCAUUGAACACAUUUAAUUUUACCUUCAUGUUCCCAAAUGAUAUGUUCAUUACCCCCG
rnacentral:lncRNA from 1 species